rnacentral:rRNA from 1 species
AUUGAACGCUGGCGGCAGGCCUAACACAUGCAACUCGAACGAGUGGCGGACGGGUGAGUAAUGUCUGGGAAACUGCCUGAUGGAGGGGGAUAACUACUGGAAACGGUAGCUAAUACCGCAUACCAUCAGAUUGGCCCAGCUGGGAGUAGCUCGUUGGUGGGGUAACGGCUCACCAAGGCGACGAUCCCUAGCUGGUCUGAGAGGAUGACCAGCUAGAGUGGUACUGGGAAGCGGUCCAGAAUGCUACGUGAGUGAGCAGUGGGGAAUAUUGCACAAUGGGCACAAGCCGGAUGCAGCGAUGCCGCGUGUAUGAAGAAGACCUUGGGGUUGUAAAGUACUUUAAGCGGGGGGGCGUUACCCGGAGAGGAAGCACCGGGUAACUCCGUGCAAGCAGGCGCGGUAAUAG